GACAGAGGUGCCGAGCGUUAGGCGGAAUCACUGGGCUUAAAGCGUGUGUAGGCGGAUCGUUAAGUACCUUGUGAAAUCCCACGGCUUAACCGUGGAACUGCUGGGUAUACUGGCGAUCUUGAGGUGCUCAGGGGCGAGCGGAACAGAUGGUGGAGCGGUGAAAUGCGUAGAUAUCAUCUGGAACGCCUGCGGUGAAAACGGCUCGCUGGGAGCAAUCUGACGCUGAGACACGAAAGCCGGGAGCGAACGGG
rnacentral:rRNA from 1 species